AGGAGGAGCUUGGCUCCCAGCCAGCUGGCCAAGAGAAAACCUGAAGGCAGGUCCUGUGAUGAUGAAGACUGGCAACCUGGCCUAGUGACUCCUAGGAAACGGAAAUCCAGCAGUGAGACCCAGAUCCAGGAGUGUUUCCUGUCUCCUUUUCGGAAACCUUUGAGUCAGCUAACCAAUCAACCACCUUGUCUGGACAGCAGUCAGCAUGAAGCAUUUAUUCGAAGCAUUUUGUCAAAGCCUUUCAAAGUCCCCAUUCCAAAUUAUCAAGGUCCUCUGGGCUCUCGGGCAUUGGGCCUGAAAAGGGCUGGGGUCCGCCGGGCCCUCCAUGACCCCCUGGAAAAAGAUGCCUUGGUUCUGUAUGAGCCUCCCCCACUGAGCGCUCAUGACCAGCUGAAGCUUGAACACCAGCCGGCGGGUGCUCAUCUCCGGAACUCCCAUCCAGAAUGAUCUGCUUGAGUAUUUCAGCUUGGUA
rnacentral:sRNA from 1 species